UGAUAACGAUAAGAUAGACCUUAACGUAUUCUAUAAAUAGAGAGGAUGAAUAAAGAUUCAAUACGCUUGAAUUCAUAGUUCUUCUAAACUACCAAAUAUUAUCUACGUUCAUACACUUCAAAACCAAAUGCCGGAGGAGAGAGCAUGGAUUGGAGGAGGAUUGGGAAAAAUUGGGGGAAGAUUUGGAAAGGUUUUGGGGUGCUU
rnacentral:lncRNA from 1 species